ACUCAAAUGAAUUGACGGGGGCUCACACAAGCGGUGGAGGAUGUGGUUUAAUUCGAAGCAACGCGAAGAACCUUACCAGGUCUUGACAUACCGGGAUUAUAUUGGUGAAAGCCAGUGGAUUGCUCGCAAGAGUGUAACCGGAACAGGUGCUGCAUGGCUGUCGUCAGCUCGUGCCGUGAGGUGUUAGGUUAAGUCCUUUAACGAGCGAAACCCCUACGAUUAGUUACCAGCGGGUCAUGCCGGGGACUCUAGUCGGACUGCCGCGCAAGCUGGAGGAAGGUGGGGACGACGUCAAGUCAUCAUGGCCUUUAUGACCUGGGCCACACACGUCCUACAAUGGGCAGUACAAAGCGUAGCAAGCUCGUGAGAGUAAGCCAAUCGCCGAAAGCUGUCCUCAGUUCAGAUUGUGGGCUGCAAUUCGCCCACAUGAAGCUGGAAUCGCUAGUAAUCGCGGAUCAGCCACGCCGCGGUGAAUUUGUUCCUGAGCCUUGUACACACCGCCCGU
rnacentral:rRNA from 1 species